rnacentral:rRNA from 1 species
GACGAACGCUGGCGGCGUGCUUAACACAUGCGAGUCGAACGAUGAAGCCGGAGCUCGCUCUGGUGGAUUAGUGGCGAACGGGUGAGUAACACGUGAGUAACUUGCCCUUGACUCUGGGAUAAGCGUUGGAAACGACGUCUAAUACCGGAUACGAGCUAGGACCGCAUGGUCAUUAGCUGGAAAGAAUUUCGGUCAAGGAUGGACUCGCGGCCUACCAGCUAGUUGGGGAGGUAAUGGCUCACCAAGGCGACGACGGGUAGCCGGCCUGAGAGGGUGACCGGCCACACUGGGACUGAGACACGGCCCAGACUCCUACGGGAGGCAGCAGUGGGGAAUAUUGCACAAUGGGCGCAAGCCUGAUGCAGCAACGCCGCGUGAGGGACGACGGCCUUCGGGUUGUAAACCUCUUUUAGCAGGGAAGAAGCGCAAGUGACGGUACCUGCAGAAAAAGCACCGGCUAACUACGUGCCAGCAGCCGCCGUAACAC